GUCUCACUGACAGGACUGUGAAAUGAAUGAACAAUGAUGUCUUGUCUUCUGUCAAUAAAGUGAAAUUGAAAUGAAAGACUACAUAGAACAAACCAAUCCUGUCUCAAUGAAAAGUGGCUGAAAUGAAGUGAGAGUGCAUGGAGCUGAGUUCUCAU